GAUGAACGCUGGCGGCGUGCCUAAUGCAUGCAAGUCGAGCGAACAGACGAGGAGCUUGCUCCUUUGACGUUAGCGGCGGACGGGUGAGUAACACGUAGGUAACCUACCUAUAAGACUGGGAUAACUUCGGGAAACCGGAGCUAAUACCGGAUAAUAUUUCGAACCGCAUGGUUCGAUAGUGAAAGAUGGCUUUGCUAUCACUUAUAGAUGGACCUGCGCCGUAUUAGCUAGUUGGUAAGGUAACGGCUUACCAAGGCAACGAUACGUAGCCGACCUGAGAGGGUGAUCGGCCACACUGGAACUGAGACACGGUCCAGACUCCUACGGGAGGCAGCAGUAGGGAAUCUUCCGCAAUGGGCGAAAGCCUGACGGAGCAACGCCGCGUGAGUGAUGAAGGUCUUCGGAUCGUAAAACUCUGUUAUUAGGGAAGAACAAACGUGUAAGUAACUGUGCACGUCUUGACGGUACCUAAUCAGAAAGCCACGGCUAACUACGUG
rnacentral:rRNA from 1 species